GCCUUUCUCUGAAGAACUACUGAGCGGGAGGAGACAGCCAGUUCAAAGACGCCACAUAAAGAAAGACGUCAGAAACAAAAAAAGAAAGGAUUUGCUACAAGCAGCCAAAGUGGUGGAUUGUUGACCAACUGGGUCAGAACGAGGACUGUAGAUGUGCCCUUUUUUUGAGCACCUGCCCCUUUACUGGUCUCUGCACGGCCCUGGAUGUUGUUGAGCGAGGGGGAAGCCGGAGCGCCCGGAGUGAACCCACACUAACACAGAGAGACAUUUCCCACUAUUUGUCAAUGGAUGAAGAUGAACGUGGGGGAAGCCAGAGCGUCUGGAGUGAACCCACACCUACACGGAGACAUUUCCCCGCCGUGCAGUCCUGCUUUUUAACGUUAAAAUGCCCAAUUAACAACAGCACCUCUUGUUCCCGUUCCUACCAAUCAGCCACCCCCUUUUGCAUCUAAUUUACUGGAGAUAUAAGCUACUACUUAUAUCUCUACUCUGGAUCUGUCUUUGAACUGGCGCAGACAGGAUGGUGUUAAAACUCUUUUUGAUUCGCCUCCACAGGAAAAUCCUUUUCUUGGGCUUCUCUUGUUCAGUCAUUGUUCUGCUUUGCUGACUCUUCUGCUUGAGGUUCAUAUUCGUGAGGUGGUGUUAGGAUUGCAUCUUCAGUUAAUGUAACCUCUGUCUGUGGCUGUUUUUCCAUCAAGUCACUCUCUCCUUCUGUGGAAACCGUUUCCUCUUCGAUUGCUGCUGAUAAUUGUUUCAUUUGAAUGAAUCUCAUUUUUAAUGUUGUUAUCUGUCGGAUCCCCAACUGUUUCUGGCACUGAAUUCUCUUGGUGACUAUAGGCUACAGGAACAUUGUCUUGACCUGGGGUUUCCAWAGUAGAGGCAGUAUUCAUUGCUGCCUCUGUCCUGUACUGACCUGCAGAUCUGUCAAAUAGCUCGCUCUGCUGUUCCUGAGGCUUGUUCAGUUGGGYUUCAAAGGGCAAUGCAAAGGGAUCAKUUUGGGUUGAAAUAGUUUUUUGAUCUGGUUUUGUCUGACURCUGGUUUCACACACRMMCAUCUCAGUUUAGGUGGAAAUCGUUCRUCUCACYGUUUUGUCCUGAUAGCUAGUUUCCUGUCCAGCCAUGUCCAUUUGAACUGAAUCAGAUCGAUGACGAAAUGUCCUACGCUGUGCGUGUUMACRUAUGUCUCUCUGAAUUUGAGGAGAAAACAUCRAAUUGCUGCUUUGUCUUCUGUCUGAUACUCCAUUCCUCAUCAGAUCUUUCUGAUGUCUAAGCUGAGCAUUUAGUUUACGAUUUGUAUCGAACAUCUCGUCGAGCUGUCUCAUUAAAUAUUUCUGGACUCUGAUACACUUCAUUUCAGACUCCUUAAAUUUAGCAAGACAUGCACAGUCUGCUUUACUUUCCUUUUUCAAGGAAGCCGCCUYGUCACRUCCCUUUGCUGGCAUUGAAAMGUUUUGUGGUUCGAUAUUCUCAGGAAAAAAACUUACAUUUAAGUGAGGCUCUGAGUUGGGGAGCGUUUUCCAAAAUGUCUUUGUUCUGCUGCUGGCCAAACCUGCCUGAUCACUUUGCUUUUCAUUCAGAGGGCCGUCACUGUUGUCACCGUUUUCAGUAAAAAAGGUUAGAUCGAUACAAGCGUCUGACUCGGGGAAAGAUUUCCAUAGCAGUGGCUUCUUCUUGAUGCUCUUCGUCUUUCGUCUUUGUUGGUCCCGUUUUUGAUCCAUUUCCUUCUGUGACUCUGGUGGAUUUGUUUUCGAUGGCCGGCUGUGCUGUAGAAUUCACUGGUUCAUCGUUACAACUCUUCUUCUUGUUGGACUCGCUCUCAGGUGGCUCUUUUUGAUCCACCGUCUCCAGUGGUUUGGUGAUCAAUUUCUUUUCAGUCAUCAAUGAAGCGUCCUGCUGUUCGAUGUUUUCAGCAGACUUCUUUUGCUCCUGCGUCUCCAACCAGACAGCAAAUGGCACCAUAACAGACUCCCAGGGGAACAGGACACAGAAAAACCAAGACAUAAAUACACUGAAAAACACAGAUCAYAAUCUUUAGUUUUAUUAUAAUAAAAUAUGUAACUGGAAAGACGCUUUUUAUUGACUGGCUUAACUGAUGCUAGUCAACGGAAAAAUAGUCAAGUGACGAUAUAAUUUUCCAUGUGACAUGUUGGAUGCAGUCAACUGAUGACUUUCAGAAAUAUCCAGAACAGUGACGUGCGCUCAGGGGAGGCACUUUCUCAGCACAUUCUGUUCUCUGAAGGUGAAUAAAACUGGGAAAUUGGUGUAAUUUCCUGGUUUCCUGUCAGUGAGCUGAUUAGUUUGUGUAUUCAUGGUGUUUUCUGACAGUUACUGGAGUCUGUCUACCUUCUUUCUAAUCUCCCACUGAUACAUGUUGUUGCAUCCAUUUUAAUAAGAAAGUUAUUUGGUUUAUCAGCAACAUGUUUAGUCUGACACAUCCGUUUAUUAUUAUUAUUAUUUUAAAAUGUAUGUUCCACAUGGAAACACCWUCCCUCCGGGGGAAUCCCAAGGCGAAUUAGAAAUAAAAAUCUUACAAUGGAUGAAGAUGAGUACUGAUGUCGUCAGGCACGUGCAGAGGGCGGGGAGGUUAAAGGGGCUUGAGCACCUGCCCCUUUUGCUCCUUGCCCCCAAGUGCCCUUUUGGUAAAUUUUUUAUUUAUUAUUAUUUCGUAAGCCCUCUGACACAUAAUUGCAUGUACUGAAAUCAUUGUUUUUUUGUUGUAUUUUUUUAAGAAAAACAACAUAAUAAGCCCCUCCGGUCACCUUGUUACCUUUGACCUUUUGCCCAUGACGCACGACACAGUUGCCUCUCGCACAGUGAGAUAAGGCGGCUAACUGCAGAGCUCAACAUAAUGAACAUUGCAGAUUACAGGACAGUUUUUGGUGAAUCAAAAAAAAAAGUUUUUGGUGAAUAAAGUGGAGGCUACACCAGUUUUAUAGUCCCUUCACUAGCUUCCUGUAGCUCAGACAAUAGACUUUAAAAUACUGUUGGUUUAUAAAUCACUAAACGGGUUAGCACCACAAUACAUUGAAGAGUAUUG